UACGUAGGUCCCGAGCGUUGUCCGGAUUUAUUGGGCGUAAAGCGAGCGCAGGUGGUUUAUUAAGUCUGGUGUAAAAGGCAGUGGCUCAACCAUUGUAUGCAUUGGAAACUGGUAGACUCGGGUGCAGGAGAGGAGAGUGGAAUUCCAUGUGUAGCGGUGAAAUGCGUAGAUAUAUGGAGGAACACCGGUGGCGAAAGCGGCUCUCUGGCCUGUAACUGACACUGAGGCUCGAAAGCGUGGGGAGCAAACAGG
rnacentral:rRNA from 1 species